UUUAAAUUAACAUUAAAAGCGACGGGCAAUAUGUGCAUAUUUUUAAAAAAAUUUAAAAAUUAAAUUUAUAAUAAUUUAAUUUUAAAUCCAAUUUUUAAUAAUUUUUACAAAAUAUUAUCCAAAUUUUUUUAAAAAUUGUAUUUCAUUAUAUUUUUAAUUAUAUAAUAUAUUAUGAUUUGAAAUAAUUUAUUAAAAAAAUUUUAAUAAUAAAUUUUUAUUAUUAUUUAUACAACAAUAUAUAAUUUUAAUAUUAAAUUAAAUAAAUUAUAUUGUGUAUUUUCAAUUAAAAAACAAAAUCCUCUAAUUCUUAAAAAUACUACCAAAAUAUUUAAAUUUUUACUAAAUAUAUAAUUUUUAAAAUAAAUUUAUUAUAAUA
rnacentral:rRNA from 1 species